GUCAAACACAAGAUAGCUCAAUUGGUUAGAGCAUGGUGCUGGCAAUGCCAAGGUUGCAGGUUUGAUCCCCAUAAGUGACA
rnacentral:tRNA from 1 species